rnacentral:rRNA from 1 species
AGAGUUUGAUCCUGGCUCAGGAUGAACGCUGGCGGUCUGCUUAACACAUGCAAGUCGAACGGACUCUUCGGAGUUAGUGGCGGACGGGUGAGUAACGCGUGAGAAUCUGCCUCCAGGACGGGGACAACAGAGGGAAACUGCUGCUAAUCCCGGAUGAGCCGAAAGGUCAAAGAUUUAUCACCUGGAGAUGAGCUCGCGUCUGAUUAGCUAGUUGGUGAGGUAAAAGCUUACCAAGGCAACGAUCAGUAGCUGGUCUGAGAGGAUGAUCAGCCACACUGGGACUGAGACACGGCCCAGACUCCUACGGGAGGCAGCAGUGGGGAAUUUUCCGCAAUGGGCGCAAGCCUGACGGAGCAAGACCGCGUGGGGGAGGAAAGCCUUUGGGUUGUAAACCCCUUUUCUCAGGGAAGAAGAAAGUGACGGUACCUGAGGAAUCAGCCUCGGCUAACUCCGUGCCAGCAGCCGCGGUAAUACGGAGGAGGCAAGCGUUAUCCGGAAUGAUUGGGCGUAAAGCGUUCGUAGGUGGCGAUUC